rnacentral:miRNA from 1 species
CUCGUCCAUGUCUUCCUUAUAC